GACGAACGCUGGCGGCGUGCUUAACACAUGCAAGUCGAACGGUGAAGCGCCUUCCUUUUUGGUGGGUGUGGAUGAGUGGCGAACGGGUGAGUAACACGUGAGUAACCUGCCCCCUUCUUCUGGAUAACCGCAUGAAAGUGUGGCUAAUACGGGAUAUUCUGGGUCUGUCGCAUGAUGGGUCUGGGAAAGAUAUUGUUUCGGUGGGGGAUGGUCUCGCGGCCUAUCAGCUUGUUGGUGGGGUGAUGGCCUACCAAGGCGGUGACGGGUAGCCGGCCUGAGAGGGUGGACGGUCACACUGGGACUGAGACACGGCCCAGACUCCUACGGGAGGCAGCAGUGGGGAAUAGUGCACAAUGGGCGCAAGCCUGAUGCAGCGACGCCGCGUGAGGGAUGGAGGCCUUCGGGUUGUGAACCUCUUUCGCCAGUGAAGCAGGCCUGCCUCGUUUGUGGGUGGGUUGACGGUAGCUGGAUAAGAAGCGCCGGCUAACUACGUG
rnacentral:rRNA from 1 species